rnacentral:rRNA from 1 species
GUGGGGAAUAUUGGACAAUGGGCGAAAGCCUGAUCCAGCCAUGCCGCGUGUGUGAAGAAGGUCUUCGGAUUGUAAAGCACUUUAAGUUGGGAGGAAGGGUAGUAACCUAAUACGUUGCUACUUUGACGUUACCGACAGAAUAAGCACCGGCUAACUUCGUGCCAGCAGCCGCGGUAAUACGAAGGGUGCAAGCGUUAAUCGGAAUUACUGGGCGUAAAGCGCGUGUAGGUGGUUCAGUAAGUUGGAAGUGAAAUCCCCGGGCUCAACCUGGGAACUGCUUUCAAAACUGCUGAGCUAGAGUACGGUAGAGGGUGGUGGAAUUUCCUGUGUAGCGGUGAAAUGCGUAGAUAUAGGAAGGAACACCAGUGGCGAAGGCGACCACCUGGACUGAUACUGACACUGAGGUGCGAAAGCGUGGGGAGCAAACAGGAUUAGAAACCCUGGUAGUCC